rnacentral:rRNA from 1 species
GACGAACGCUGGCGGCGUGCUUAACACAUGCAAGUCGAACGGAAAGGCCCUGCUUGCUGGGUACUCGAGUGGCGAACGGGUGAGUAACACGUGGGUGAUCUGCCCUGCACUUCGGGAUAAGCCUGGGAAACUGGGUCUAAUACCGGAUAGGAGCCAUUUUUAGUGUGAUGGUUGGAAAGUUUUUUCGGUGUAGGAUGAGCUCGCGGCCUAUCAGCUUGUUGGUGGGGUAAUGGCCUACCAAGGCGGCGACGGGUAGCCGGCCUGAGAGGGUGGACGGCCACAUUGGGACUGAGAUACGGCCCAGACUCCUACGGGAGGCAGCAGUGGGGAAUAUUGCACAAUGGGCGCAAGCCUGAUGCAGCGACGCCGCGUGGGGGAUGACGGCCUUCGGGUUGUAAACUCCUUUCGCUAGGGACGAAGCUUUUUGGGACGGUACCUAGAUAAGAAACACCGGCUAACUACGU